rnacentral:lncRNA from 1 species
CCAUUUUAAAAUUUAAAUGUAAAAAACUAUAAAAACUAUUUUUGUAAUUUAUAUUAUACGAAAAUAAAAAUAUAAAAAAAAAAGUAAUUGUAGUUACCUAAGUAAUUAAAAUGAAAUGAUACUAUUAUGUGCAUGUUUAAAAUAAAUGUCCAACGAUAAAAAAAUAAAUUAACAAGGUGCAAACAAAAUAAGAGUAAGUUUAGAAAAAUGAAACCAAAGAUAUAGGGUGUGAGAUUUAGCAAAUAUAAUGGUGCCUGAACAAACAAGGGUCCAUAAGAACAGUGGUGUAUGAGAAAAAAAUAGCUGCACGAAGAAAAAGAGAAUUUAAACCGAAAAGUGCCCAAAACAAGAAAGGGGGAGUGCCUAAAUGGAAGACAGGGGUGUGCAGAGAAGUGAGCAAGACAGAAAGCCCUAAAAGAAAAAAUAAAAAGAAACUGCAGAAAUAAAAGCAAGGUGCUGCUCCCUUCACCACUACACCAUGUUUCAUCCUCUCCUCCAAAUUCUUUUAAUUCUAAUUCUAUCCUUAGUUAAAAUUUUUUACUUUUAUCAUUUAGAAUUCUUUUAAUUAAUUUAAAAUUUUUAUUUGUACUCAUUUUUGCUGUGCACCCCACCCAUCUUUUGCAGAUUCUUUUCUUCCCCUC